GCUUAUGGCCAUACCACCCUGAGCGCGCCCGAUCUCGUCUGAUCUCGGAAGCUAAGCAGGGUCGGGCCUGGUUAGUACUUGGAUGGGAGACCGCCUGGGAAUACCAGGUGUUGUAAGCU
rnacentral:rRNA from 1 species